rnacentral:rRNA from 1 species
CCUACGGGAGGCAGCAGUGGGGAAUUUUGGACAAUGGGCGCAAGCCUGAUCCAGCCAUGCCGCGUGAGUGAAGAAGGCCUUCGGGUUGUAAAGCUCUUUCGGCGGGGAAGAAAUUGCACGGGUUAAUACCCUGUGUAGAUGACGGUACCCGAAUAAGAAAGCNCCGGGCUAAAUACGUGCAGCAGCCGCCGGUAAU